rnacentral:tRNA from 5 species
GGAGAUGUAGCUCAGCUGGUUAGAGCGCACGACUCAUAAUCGUGAGGUCGGUGGUUCAAGUCCACCCUUCUCUACCA